UGACAUGUGUGCGAGUCAAUGGGCGAGUAAACCCGUAAGGCGUAAGGAAGCUGAUUGGUGGUAUCCCCCCGAGGAGUUCACUGCCGAUCGACCUUGAUCUUCUGCGAAGGGUUUGAUUGUGAGCAUACCUAUUG
rnacentral:ncRNA from 1 species